UCUCAUUUCUGCUUUGGCCAUGAAAUGUUUUCAUUCAUUUCUAUACCUGUUUGGGAAGAAAGCUUAUAGCUGUCCUUCAGUGCCUCAUGGCAUCAAUUCUUCUGCAGAAAGAGAGAGUUUAUGAGAGCAGAUACACAGAAGAUAAAUAGAGACCAUGUCCUUGUAAUGAUGGCAACUGUUAACGGAGUGGAAGAAGGUUCAUUCUGGUGUCCUCAGAGAACAAGAAGCCAACAGCUGGUUGGCUUCAUUCAGCACAAUGCAGAACACACUCAUCCGACCCUUACUAACAAAGAAGACUCUGAGUCAGCUGCUGCUGCUGUACUCUGAGCCAACGACUUCAGUGACCUCCCAGUGAUGAUUACAAGAAACCUUUUCUGAGUACUCAGCCUGUUCCACAUUCAAUGUCAUCUUUGUGCAAGAGGUAGUCCAGGUUCCCAUUCCAUGUAACAUAUCUGCCAACAGAAGAGAUCGUUUUCUGUCCAAGCACGAGUGAGUACUUGCUUCCGGAGCCAUGUUAACUGAGGAGGAAGGUUAAGUGCAUUAUGGACAGUGGAUUACGGAUGGCAAUGAUGGG
rnacentral:lncRNA from 1 species